UUUUGAUGUGGACAAUGAAAAACAAGUCUAAAAGCGGAGGAGAUGGAACCAUUGAAGAAGUUGGAAUACUUUAAAGGAUGUUUCCAAGACAUUAAUGAAUUCAAUAAGUUCAUCUCCUCAAUGCAACAAACUAACGUAGCACUGGAACCGUCGUUGAAUGAGAAGGCAAUGGAAAAAGUGAUCGAGGAAUAGCUCGAGAAAAAAUAUCGGUUUGUAUUAUCAUAAUUCAAGUUAUUUCUUAUUAAAUGUUUAAUUUUAAUAUAUGUGUAUGGAAUUUGAAUGUGAGGUAAGUAGUGAUAUUUGAAUUGAAUGGAAAUUGAAUUUGAUUGAUAAAUGUAUACAUGUGUGAAAUUGAAUUGUAUAA